rnacentral:rRNA from 1 species
UACGGAGGCGGCGAGCGUUGUUCGGAAUUACUGGGCGUAAAGCGCGCGUAGGCGGACCGGAAAGUUGGGGGUGAAAUCCCGGGGCUCAACCCCGGAAUUGCCUUCAAAACUCCCGGUCUGGAGUUCGGGGGAGGUGAGUGGAAUUCCGAGUGUAGAGGUGAAAUUCGUAGAUAUUCGGAGGAACACCAGUGGCGAAGGCGGCUCACUGGGCCGAUACUGACGCUGAGGUGCGAAAGCGUGGGGAGCAAACAGG